UUUUGGGAUUAACAACAAGUUGAGAAGUAAGACAAAGAGUUAAAACCAUGUCCAAGAUGACUCCCUUAUUAAUAGCAAGAGUCAAAGUUACAGAGACAGCUUCACACGGCAGUCACCUUGGCCUGUUAACUGAAACCCAGAAUCAGGCAGAUGUACCCAGCCCGUGAUGGGCUAGGCUGUACAAGGGAGCCCUCAUGUAGCAGUCCUGACCAUCUGGCUGAGCAGAGACAACGUCAGCUUUCUACACGCAGGCCUGCUUUGUAGUCAAAAGUCUGUCACCCGCCUGGGUGAGCGAAGGAAUGUGCUGGUGCCAAGGAAAAAAUCCCUCCUUGUGGACUUCGGAAACAGAAAAGACAUUCCUUCUAAAAAGUCUGCUCACAGAUCCCUGGGUGGCUCAGCGGUUUGGAGCCUGCCUUCGGCCCAGGGUGUGAUCCUGGAGACCUGAUAUCGAGUCCCAGGUCGGUUCCCUGCAUGGUUCCCUGCCUGGAGCCUGCUUCUCCCUCUGCCUGUGUCUCUGCCUCUCUCUCUCUGUGUCUCUCAUGAAUAAAUAAAUAAAAUCUUAAAAAAAUAAAUUCUGCUCACAACUAGUAAGACACUAACUUGGUGUACCCUGUAGUCUCUACUCAGAGGUAUUAAUAAAAUGACCACAACGUGCUGCAGAACAAGGUUUAGAGGUUGCUGUUCUUUAAGAAAAAGACUUGAUGUGUAAUUUUCUCUCUUUAUUCCUUGUUGUCAUUAAUUUCAUUUCAUUUAAUUUUAGAGCUUUAAAAGGAGGCUUUUAGUACAUGUGCUGCCAAAGUGAGCAGAAGGAACUUUAAAGUUCAUUUGCUCACCUUCCACUCUUUACAUUGAGUAGCCUGAAGCCCGUAUUUGUGACUUGGCUGGAAUAUCUAACCUGUUAGAGGCAGAGCUGAUACUUGGGUAUUUGACUGAUAAAACAGUACACUGUCCAUUAUAUUGCAAUAUGUCCCUUUGGCUUGUUCUCCCUUUCAUUUUUAGACAUAUGAUCCAGCUCAGCUAUGAUGAAGGAGAAAAAAAACAAAACAAAAAACAAAUCAGUAAAUGUCAAAGUUGAGAAAUUAUAGAGUUUUAGUUUUGAAAAAGUAUAGACCAUGAGGCAUAGUCUAUAUAGAUAUAGGCAAAUGUAGAAUUUUAAAAUGUAGUCUUCUAAUUGUUUAUGUUAUCUGAAUCAAAAUGAAAAUUCUAGGUUAGACUUUUAGUCUAUGAUAUAGUUUUGGAAUAUAGGUGAGGUUUGGUGCGGUGAGGUCCAGAGGUGACAGCCAAGAAAGAAUUUUUGAGAUAUCUUUGGUGCAAAAUGGUGGUUUUAUUAAAACACAAGGACAGGACCCAAGGGCAGGAAUAGCUGCUGCACUAGGGUUGUGAGGGGUGGCUGAUUAUAUAUGUGGGAGUUGGUAGUAAGGAAAAAGGGAGGUUUUCAAAAGAAUUUUUGCAUGCUAAAGAGGACCUACAAGAUAUUGGAGGCCUUGCAAUUGCCAAGUUAAGGUUGUUUUUUUACCUCUGGUAAAGC
rnacentral:lncRNA from 1 species